AGUUGAAAAACAUAAAGGAGUUCCGAAAGUACAAGUUGUUGCUGUGACUGACUCGAUGAUUGAGGGGGUCGUCUCGACGAAAGAUAGAGACAGUUGGCCAUAGUUUAGAUUAGGAAUACGUCAAUGUAAUAAUAGUGGACCAAAUGUUUCGUCCGUGCAGAAUGGCACUUUUUACCUCACGACCAUGCAUAGCUGCGCUACGUAAACAAUUUUACAAAGUUGUUGAUGUAGCGUGAUCGUGAUGUCCGACUCCGAGUACGAGUGCUGCGAGUUUCAAUACUGUUUAUGUAGUCAUUGAGAGUUUAAACAAAGUUUCUUCUGAGAAGAGAAAUUCGAUGGAUGCAUUCAACGUGGAUAACGAGAUUAUAAUUUCGUUUGUGUCAUCCUAAGGACAAGUGCAAGUUGAAAUGGACUUCGAGUCAACAACUUCAACAGCAAUUUGCCUUGAAAAUCAGCAAGAAAGGUACUUCAUUUACAUUGAUGAUGUCAUAUCCCCUGAACCCCACAACUUUACAGGUUACAGAGAAAAUUCAAGAACUUCUGCACAAUGUGGGACUCGGAUAGAAUCAAUAAUGUAUUUGUGAGCCCAGAUAUAUUGUGCAACAUACUAAAGUGUGAAUUUAGUUGAAAACAAGUACAUGUACUCAUGUAUACUAUUAUAUGUCUUUCUUAAAGACAAUAAUAUUGCAUAAAUGUAGAUGAAGUGUCAUUGUUGAUUAUUCUAAGUUUUUGAUAUAUCAAAAUCAGUAAACAUUUCUAAAUGAAAAUAAAAUACCAAUUUUAUAACUUUUAA